GUAAUGAGCAGGUCCCAGGGCCUCCCAGAGCUGCCCAGGGCCAAGAACUGUGGUGGGAUUGCCAAAGACCCGUCAGCAGAGGCCCUGCUGUGUCAGAGUCCAGGGGUGGGUGUUCUCUGCCCUGUUCUGAGGACGUGACAUUGCCGGGACUGUAUCCAUAGGCGGGACUGUCCAACUACGGGAACCCUCGCCAUGGCCUGUUGCUGUUCAUGAUGGCUGGCAUGACAGUGUCCAUGUACCUCUUCCGGGUAACAGUGACCAGUGACUCCCCCAAGGAUGUUGCUUUCUGGACUCUGGCUCUUCACCCUCUCGCGGAGCUCACAGGCUUUACAGAGCAUGAGGUGCCUUAAAGAUAUCUCUGGUUUUUCUCCUGGUCUGUCUCACCUUUGUCCUACCCUUCUGCCUUACCCCUAGCCAAUCCAGUUUGUGUAAAUCCUGAGGACAGCCUCUAGCUCAGAGGGAUGACUUCUGUACCUCCUUUCCUUGCCCACCUAGGUCCCUGGGUUUGCUCAAUGUGGCAUCUCCUACUCUAGCUCUGUAUUGUCAGUUGUGUUGGGGAGUGGAAGGAAAAGAAUCACUUACUUACUGUCCUUUUAUGACUACUGUUUGUUUCUG
rnacentral:lncRNA from 1 species